rnacentral:tRNA from 1 species
GGCUACAGCUCAGUUGGUGGACUGCUUGCCUUGCAUGCACAAGGCCCUGGGUUCAAUCCCCAGAACCA